UACGAAGGGGGCUAGCGUUGCUCGGAUUGACUGGGCGUAAAGGGCGCGUAGGCGGUUCGUACAGUCAGACGUGAAAUCCCUGGGCUCAACCUGGGGGCUGCGUUUGAUACGUGCGGACUUGAGUGCGGAAGAGGGUCGUGGAAUUCCCAGUGUAGAGGUGAAAUUCGUAGAUAUUGGGAAGAACACCGGUGGCGAAGGCGGCGACCUGGUCCGAUACUGACGCUGAGGCGCGAAAGCGUGGGGAGCAAACAGG
rnacentral:rRNA from 1 species